ACUUAGGGUGAAAGACCCCCGAAGGGAGACCCUCACUCAAGCCUCGGGAUGUGGCACGGACCCAAGAGAGACGCAGAGACCG
rnacentral:pre_miRNA from 7 species